UACGUAGGCAGCAAGCGUUGUUCGGAGUUACUGGGCGUAAAGGGUGCGUAGGCGGUCCUAUAAGUAUGGUGUGAAAUCUCCCGGCUUAACUGGGAGGGUGCGCUAUAGACUGUGGGACUAGAGUGUGGGAGAGGAAAGUGGAAUUCCUGGUGUAGCGGUGAAAUGCGUAGAUAUCGGGAAGAACACCCGUGGCGAAGGCGGCUCUCUGGGACGGUACUGACACUGAGACGCGAAAGCGUGGGGAGCGAACAGG
rnacentral:rRNA from 1 species